GCAGUCGAGCGGUAACAGAUCCAGCUUGCUGGAUGCUGACGAGCGGCGGACGGGUGAGUAAUGCAUAGGAAUCUGCCCGAUAGUGGGGGAUAACCUGGGGAAACCCAGGCUAAUACCGCAUACGUCCUACGGGAGAAAGGGGGCUCCGGCUCCCGCUAUGGGAUGAGCCUAUGUCGGAUUAGCUAGUUGGUGAGGUAACGGCUCACCAAGGCCACGAUCCGUAGCUGGUCUGAGAGGAUGAUCAGCCACAUCGGGACUGAGACACGGCCCGAACUCCUACGGGAGGCAGCAGUGGGGAAUAUUGGACAAUGGGGGAAACCCUGAUCCAGCCAUGCCGCGUGUGUGAAGAAGGCCCUCGGGUUGUAAAGCACUUUCAGCGAGGAAGAACGCCUAGCGGUUAAUACCCGCUAGGAAAGACAUCACUCGCAGAAGAAGCACCGGCUAACUCCGUGCCAGCAGCCGCGGUAAUACGGAGGGUGCAAGCGUUAAUCGGAAUUACUGGGCGUAAAGCGCGCGUAGGUGGCUUGAUAAGCCGGUUGUGAAAGCCCCGGGCUCAACCUGGGAACGGCAUCCGGAACUGUCAAGCUAGAGUGCAGGAGAGGAAGGUAGAAUUCCCGGUGUAGCGGUGAAAUGCGUAGAGAUCGGGAGGAAUACCAGUGGCGAAGCGGCCUUCUGGACUGACACUGACACUGAGGUGCGAAAGCGUGGGUAGCAAACAGGAUUAGAUACGCUGGUAGUCCACGCCGUAUACGAUG
rnacentral:rRNA from 1 species